CCGCCCUCCCUCCUCCAAAACAAAAACGCGCGCGAACCCCCCCCCCCCCGCACCCCGUGCCGGGGAGUCCGCAGCACCUCGCUUAGGCGUAGGGCUGGUUCCUGCAACUUCUAGCCCCGGGUGUGAUGCGAGUCAGUGAGGUUCACUUUCUGGGGCUGGGAGUGCGUCACUGCUGGUUAGCGAGGGGUGCAGGGGUUGCAGCUCAGGACUGAUUUGAUCUCUCUCUCUCGCCCCCCCCGGCACUCCGUCUGAAUUGGCCUGGAAAGUUGCGAAGCGGGGUGGGCGGCAUGAGAAAGUUAAACACAAAGCGAGGAGGGCUCCUUUGUUCCGCUGGGGGGGGGGGGGAGAGAGGGGGGGACCUUUGGAGAGGGUGGCUGAGCCAGACACAUACAGGUCAGGAGCGAUCGACAGCGAUUAGCCUUUCCCGUCAAACGCCUCCCUCCCCCCAAAGGAGCCAGGCGCUUGGAGGAGGAGGAGGAAAGCGGAAGGUGUAUCGCACCAAGGGGAUGCUGCUGGCACCAUCUCUGUGGUUUGCGCAACAGGUAGAGAUGCCAAAGACUGGAAAUAUCUUUUGUUGUUGGUCUCGUGGCCGGGAUUAAGCUUUUGUUCUGAAGGCUGGAUGUCGCCACAAGUGAAAGGACACAGUCUUGCCAAAUCCACUCGUGUGGGUGCUUGUGUGCCUGUAAAUGGACCCUUUCUUCUCUUGUUUUUAUAUUUUCCUUUAAUCUACAUUUGUCCUUCAGACUGUAAAAGACCAAACUGACCGAAACCAGAUACCAAGGGGAUUGUUCUCAGUGAGUGUCAAGGGAAUCCAAACAAAGAGGUGCAUCUACCGGAAAUAAUGAUUUGAGAGAUGUUUCUCUCCCUCUCCCCCCCCCCCCCCCCCCGAUUGAAAUUGUUUUUCUGGGAGGCUCAGUUAGCAGGAAGUUUGGAUUUGGGAGCCUGCUAGAGAUGGGGAGGACUAACGUCUGCAGUGUUAAUUGAAUGGAGGAAGAAGAAGAGAGGAAGGGCAGUGUUGGACCUGAGUUGCUCCUUUGGAUACGCAAGGACUGGGCUGGGGGAGGGAAAGGGGGGAGAGGCAGAGAGGAACCUGCUGCCGCUUGCUGGCUCUUUGUCUGCUCAGGGAACUUGAACAAAAGGAGAAACUCGGAUGAACUCUCCAUCUCUCUCUUCUUCUGGGUUAUCUAAUCUUCGGGAACUUUAUCCAGAGAGAAUUGCCCAACUUCCUCCAAGCUUUCUCAUUACUUACAAAACAAACGGCCCCACCGUGGCCUCAUAAGGAAUUCCCUCGAUUUCGUUUUCAGAGUUAAAGAAGGGAGAAGGUAAAGUCUGAUUGACAGAGAAGCAUGAUGGCUGCCAAAACACCUUACAGGAAUAGGUGCCAUAUUGCAUUUGCUCUUCAAAUGGUGGAAUACGGCUUUGGAUACUUUAGUGGGGAUUAACAGAGUACAAACACUGAAUGACUAAAGACAUCAAACAUCAUCAUUUGGAUUUAUAUAUCUAUUAAUAAACUGAUAAAAGUGGUGGUAGUUGCUCUUGAAGAAAUCAGAAAAUAUGGAAGGUACUGUUGAAAAUGGUCUGGAGUAGAUCGCUUUGUGACAAUGAUAUUCUACAAUUAAAAUAAGGAAUUGGCCAUCUUUCUUUUGUACGGUUGCUGAAGCAUUAUCACAGGACAGCAAGGAUUGAUGAAUAUCGUUCAGGUAUGAGUCAUGUCAGUAUAGUGAAAGAGGAGGAUUUAUGUUUCUGAAGUGGGAUUGUGUAUGUGAUCAAAGGAUUUACAUGCAGCACUCUGUGCUGUAGUUCCUUCCUGCUCCAGGAGGGACACCUGGGGUGAUGUCUUCAUUCUGCUAUUGAACAUGGUAAAGGGCCUCUAUCUGCAAGCUGGCAUUCCGAUACCAUCAUUGGUCUCUGAAGCAGCAACAUUAGAUACACUGUGAUGGGCAACCUAGAAAUACCAAGAGCAGCAAGCAGCAUGCUACAUCUUCAUUUUUAGCUUUUUUCCAUACUCUGCUCUGCUUCGAGCUGCGCUGUUUGGAAGAAGCAUCGUCGUCUUUUCUCACAGCUACGACACGGCACCGCUCUCAGCAUUUCCUGCUUUUUCCCCCCAUUUACCUGGGCGGCUUCUGCUGUUUCUGUUGCUGCUGCUGGGGCUGCUGCAGUUUGGCUGCCUGUGCUUCACCCUGGCAUGUCUGAGUCAGGAAUCACUCGUCUGCACAUUGCUAAGGAACAGCAGCGAUGGAACUCUGGCCUCAUUUUUUUUUCUGUUGGUGCUGGAAGAGAUGGGUUGUGAUGUGGGGGAUGGGGUGUUUUGGGGUUUUUUUUGGAAGGGUGGGGACAUUAAUCCAAAGUGAGGUGGGAGAAAGUUUAAAGAAAUAUUAUGCAAAAUAAUCCAGCACACGACAAGGGCAUCAGCAGCACGAAUCCAGCCUCUGCUGCUCGAAAGGAUUAACAUGGGAAAAGCCACAGUGAUGCAGUAAUGUUUCACCUCAGCACUGUGCUGGAGAUGGAUAAAUAAGGUAUCUGAUAUGUCCGCCUGUAAAGGCAAAGCUGUGGGAGGAAGAGAGCGAGAGAGCAAAUGAAAAGGAAGAAGAAACACUGUAUUUUGUUUGUCUGAUUCUGUGCAUUCUUAUUCUAGAGAUGGUUGCAUAAUUUACCAAACAAUGUAUGGACGGAGGGACUGUAAAUUGUAGUCUGAACACUCCUGACGCUGUCAGGGAGGGAACUGAUGGGCUAGGUGACUGCACUGACAUCCCCAGGGAAAACGGCCAUCAUGCAGUAUAUAUUUAUAUAUGUAUGUGUACCUCUUGUGUGUCCAUGUGUAGACAUGAAAAAAGGCAUUUCUGACCAAUUUACACAGGAAGUUUGUGAGUUUGCUAGAUCAGAUUUGAUUGCAGCUUAUAUUUUCAGCUAUAGCUCUACACCCAUUUCCUGAAUCAGAAGGUGCUUUGUGAAAACAGACGUAUGCAGAAUUCUUUUAAGAAAUGUGAAAGCAGCCCCUUUUGAUUUUACACCUUGAAGCACUGAAUCUUCUGUACUGUGCUGAGAGGAACUGUGUGGGUUUUGUUUUCUUCAUCUUAAAAUCUUUAUAAACACAGCUGUAUUUAGUAUGGUGAAAAAUUCUAUACUGUAAAUAGAAAUGUGAUCAAUCUAAUCAAAAUAAAUGUAUCCCAGAUGACUGCUAGACCAGCUGGCUACCACAGUCUUCAGAUGGCUAAAUGCUCAACUGAGAUGGAUUCAGCAUUAUAUUUACUACUUUUUUUAAAUUUCAAAAUCAGCCUAUAAUUAAAAAAAGAUUCUUGGUCCGGUUAAAAGAGGCAAUGCUCACAACUGGCAUGCAUCAUUCUGAAAGGGACACUGAUAUUUUUCAUUUUUGGACAUGCCUUUGGAAGAUUGUGUUUUUAGAACAGAUGGACUUAUCAUAAUACAGACAUAGUUAGUAUGGUGAAAACUAGUAGACAGAUCAGGUUGGCCAUAUCCAUGUCAUGUGCAAAAUGAAGUUAAGGGAAAUAAAUGCUCCACUCAACUAGUGGGGACUUGGUAUGAUUUUUAGCCACCACCUACUGUGAGAGUUUUGGGUUUUUUUAAACACAAAACCCAUAAAGUCAUCUUAAAAUUUGUAUGAGGGGAUUUCCCAAUAGGUCAUGGUGAGCUAUCCUGCAAGACGCCUGUCUGGGCCUUCAACUAUUUGUUACCAGGUCUACAAAGGCAGCCCUGUGUGUUGGAUUAUAUUUAGCCAGCUGUUGGAUAACAUUCCUGUGUUGUGGGUGGAGGAAUCUUAUUACUUCCAAACUAUAGUUAUCUGUUUAAAGGAAAAAUAGUUUUGGAAAAUACAUUGAGCUCAGCUGAGGAGUUGCACCUCUCAUGUACGUUUCUCAAAUACUGUUUUUCCAACCCAGCCACUUUAAAACAAAACAGGGAGGAGGAAGAGAGACUUUAACUCAUAGCUUCAAAGCUGCAGAGACAAGCAAAAUGUCAGCAGCUUGUAAUUAGCUGCUCAGGGUUACAUCAGUGACUGUAUCUCUCCAAGAAUAACUGUGAUGUGUGCCACAAAGUAAGGAAGAUAGUCAUAACCUAGUUAUCAAGCCAGGUUCAAACAAGAGCAAAUGGAUUAAUGAAUCUGCUGUGUUCAUAAAUCAAAUACGGAUGGAUUACGUAUAUAAGACUUACUGAAUUCUGCAUAAUUGAAGGCUGAAUUAGGAACUUGUCAGAGGGCAUGUGUUCACUAAGUAAAAGUGUGAAUCCUUUAAAAAAAUGCAGAUGAACUAUCCCUGAAAAUGUCUUUAAGGACUCCAUCUAGUACAAGCAGCUGUGUGACACUGAAGCAUGCUACAACGGAAAAAAUUAAGAGAUGCACGGAGGUGCUUAAAAGAAAGGGAGGAAAAAUACAUAAAGAAAGCAUGCUGAAAUUCUGUUUUGGCAUUACAGAUUUGAUAUUAAAAUACCACCCCAGAGAAGAUUUAUUGUGGUCUGAUGUGGUUUACAUUGACUCCUCUGUUUAAGAGUGCAAAAAAAGAAAAAAGAUUUUGUGAGGCUCAGUACAACAUCUUGGAGCCAAGCAGAAAACCAUCAAUACUGCAGAGUACCAGGACUGCUUGUUUUUAAAGGGACAAGAUCAAGCCAUGCUAGGAUCUUUCUGUACUCUGCAAUUAUUCUAGAUCUAUGCUGGCAAUUCAGCAACAUUUAAACAGUGAGAUUGUGGGGGGUACUUAAUCUGCUCUGAUUGGCCCUUUUCCACAUUGUUGCUGUAAAAUGUUUACAUGGCUUUUAUCCAUACACCUUACAACGUUCAAUUUGCAUUUCUGUUUGUGUUCAUGCUGCACAAUUGUUACAAGCCUGGUUUGUUUCCAUAUUCCCAGCUGAAGUCAGUUUCAGUUGAGCUAUGUUUAUUCACUCCUUAAUACACCAAGAUAGAUAGUUUGUAUUAUGCAAACACAGAUUUUUUUUUUACUGUGAACACAAAUUUGUAGGAGGAGAUGACUGUAUAUUAAACCAAUAGCUCUUUGAAAUGCAUGUAAUAUAAUUUAAAUAUACUUAAUUUAAUUAAUAGAAGGUUACAAAAGCUAGCAUUGUCUGAGCUUGUUUAAUUUACAUCUUAGACUUAGUCAAUGAGCAUAACCUGCCUGAUCGGAAUAGUGUAUUCUGUGCACCCAACGGGGUGGAAGACAUUAUUUUGUUUGUGUUAGUUCAAACAGCUGGUCAUUAAUGCAGGACCCAUCUCCAGAGUGAAGUGUUAGUGGACAUGAAUGGCUCCCUGAUUAAUGCUGCCCCUCGAAGGCUCCUUCAUCCAGCAGCGAUGCUUGCAUCAGAAUAAUGCAGCAUGAUUUGAUUGCGCUCUAGCAGGGUAGUAUGUCAUUGUGUCACCAGGCAAUUGAGGUUAUUAUGGAGCAGGGCAGACAGACGGGACAGUGGGGUUACUAGACCGUGGCAUUUUUAGAAAUACAGGCCUGACCUACUUAGAGUUAUUCUUGCUGGCUGGCAGCUUCAUGGUGCAUGGAGUGUCCUGAUAGGCCGAGACUGUUGCUAGGGGGAAUUAGCAUGAAUUUUUCCACAUACAGACUCGGUGAUUGAAUGAUAAAAGCUGACUGGAAUUAAAGAGAUUCGGUUCAGUAUUAUGCAGAUUUAUCUCCCUCAUUUUUCUCUCUCAAAUGCAGAAAAAGGAGCAAAGACAGUUUCUUGCCAUUUAUUCUUUGACCUAUUUUUUGCAGAGGAAGGCAAAAGAGUUAUGAAAUGUUGACGAUCAUUUACUGUUUUAAUCUUUAAAAUGAUGCUGCAAAGGGUAAGAUAUUUAAGUUCAUAAACUGCUUGGAACAGGUAACAGAUUAGGGGUUUUAUUCUCUCUUUCUCUCCUGUGCACUGCACUAUUUUGAGGCAUGCAUCUUUCAUGUACUGUAUAUUUGAACUCUGUCCCCUUUAGAAGAGAACAAAACACGUAUAUAAAUUUUGUUCUAUCCAAACAACUGGCUUGUUUAAAAGAAGCUAUGUAGGAUUCCCAGUUUGGAAAGGGAAAUAUAUACCAGCUUUUAUUGCAUAACAUUAUUCUUGACUCUUUUUAGCUAUUCUUACUCACAAAAUUAGUCUGUUUAUGUUCUUAGAUGAAAUUCUUCUCCCCAGUCUCUGUCUCCCAUAUGCACAGACACACACAGGAUUUUUACAGAGGACAGUGUUGUGUGUAGUGUUUAUCUGGAAAACUAUUUGCAUACUGAAGACAUAUCUGUGCUGCAUGUACAGUAGAUAGUUAUAGCUGGCCUGUGAUCAGUUUGAUAAGAUAACCUCUUCUGGAUUUCCAAAUAGCUUUCUGUGUUCAGUUUGGAACUGGACUUCCUCAAUAGCUCUUUUUUUAUACCCAUCCCCUUAAAUCAGUGCAGUUUAGUUUGUUUUUAACAGAAUUCUAACCUCCCUUCAGGAGGCAAAUAAAAACAGUCAAUCAAGA